GCGUUUGUGGUUUAGUGGUAAAAUCCAUCGUUGCCAUGUAACUGUUGAGAUCAACAGUUUCAGUGUCGAUGGGCCCCGGGUUCGAUUCCCGGCGAACGCA